rnacentral:rRNA from 1 species
UACGUAGGGAGCAAGCGUUAUCCGGAUUUACUGGGUGUAAAGGGCGUGUAGGCGGGCCUGCAAGUCAGAAGUGAAAUCUGGGGGCUUAACCCCCAAACUGCUUUUGAAACUGCGGGUCUUGAGUGAUGGAGAGGCAGGCGGAAUUCCCAGUGUAGCGGUGAAAUGCGUAGAUAUUGGGAGGAACACCAGUAGCGAAGGCGGCUGUCUGGUCUGCAACUGACGCUGAGGCUCGAAAGCAUGGGUAGCGAACAGG